GCCCGCCGGAUGCACACCGGAGCUCGGUGCCUCCGCUCCCUCCACAGAUAUCCGGGAAAAAGAUGCUUUUCCCAGGUGGAAGCAGCGGCACCCAUCACGGCAUGCUGUGCAUGCUAAAGCCAGGUACACAGUGAGACCAAGGAAAGCAACUGAGAAACAGAAAAAUUUCAACAGCAAUGGAAGCUCAUUGAUAUGUACUCUUUGGAACAAAGGCUUCUAAGGCAACCUCAUGACACAAUCAGAGAAACUAUCCUGAAAGUAAGAGCUACAAAGGAAAAACAACAGAAUGUGCAUGUAUCGUCCCAGUUCGACAGCAGAGCAGGAAGGAUACAGACAGCAUAAGAAGUUCAGACAAAUGAGUUUCAGAUGCUGAAACCU